AUCCAGCCGAAGAGUCCUAAAUAGGACAAAGCGUGUGUCCAAGAU
rnacentral:hammerhead_ribozyme from 1 species